GAAAUGAGUUACCCCUAUAUAUCGCGACCCCUGGCCGCGAUCCAGCUCCCGGAUUGGUCGAGGCCGGGCCUCAAUUUCAAUUUUGCGGUCAAUUAUCUACGAAUUUCUUAAAAAUUAUAUCGUUACAGAUAAAAUGCUGCAACCAAUUUCAACACUUGCUUUGCCAAAUUCUGCGAUAUCCGGAUUGCUUAAAGAUAGAUACAUAUUCAUGGAAGAUAUUAUCACUACACCUGAAAAGUUGACAAAGUACGUUACUUCACUUGUGUCUCGUGAAGCAUUAGAAAUACCUCAAACUCAUUCGGCACUCGACGUUUGGCAAAAAGAAAUGGAGGUUGGAAGUAUAUCAACUUGUUGCAAAAUCUUAGAUGAUACUUUUGAUGGUGGGCUUCAACGUGGAAGCAUCACAGAAUUAUUUGGUGCUCCUGGCUCAGGCAAGACUCAAAUUUGUUUUCAAAUCAGCAUCAUGGAACAAUUAAAUAUCUGCCUUAACAAUUUCGACGGUCAGGUAUUUUACUUUGACACGAGACAUCAGACAUCUCUUUUGAGAUUAAAAGAUCUCAUUCUUGGGUGUCAAAGUGUCCAAAAGGAUCAAAGAUUGAACAUAGAUGACAUGAUGAAAGGGAUAACUGUCGUUUCUCCUUUUACUCCAAAUGAAUUAUUGUCUGCAAUUACUAAUUUAAAAAGAGAUUUAGUGGGUGGAUCAAAGGUGAGCGUUAUAAUACUGGACAGUUUAUCAUAUCCUAUUCAAUGUUGCCUCGAGGAUUCCUGGCAACGUACUCAAGUUUAUUUUCGAAUAUUAGACGAGUUACAUGCUAUAGUAUCAAAAUUCAAUGUCGCGAUGACGAAGGAAAAGUAUGUUUUGGUAGUGCUGGAGGGCAAUUGCUGGCCCAUCUUGUACACAGACGACUGACACUCGUGCGUUUAACAGAUACGAAAUUUGCAGCACACAUUUUAAAACAUUCUACGUUACCUCAAGUUUCUGUAGUUUUUGAGAUUAUCUCGACUGGCGUUAGAGAUGUGAGUAAAGUUACAACUUCUUGAUAAAUAGGUGCAAGUCGACAGUAUAAGUAAUUUCUACCUUUUGGAUAAAACAACUGCUAGUAGAUAAUUCAUUCACGUUUUGUUUUUAUUGGUUGUAAUAUCGUGAAACAUCAAUAUGAAUAUUGCUUUUAUAAUAUAAUUUUAUAACAAAAUGUUACAAUAAUAAAUAGACAUCUCUGUAAUGUAGAAAAUAUAUGCAAUAUUUCUUCGUAGCAAACUUGUGUAAAAAUAGAUUGCAGUAUAUAGAUGUAAAAAUAUAACAAGUAGAGCCAUCUUUAUGCUAAAGUCUUUGUAUCUUGUUGUAUAAAAUAAAAAUAAAGGUUCUAUGUAAAAGCA
rnacentral:misc_RNA from 1 species